GGUACCUUCGGUGCCCGAGUUGUAAUUUGUAGAGGGCGACUUUGGAGCGGCUCCUUGUCUAUGUUCCUUGGAACAGGACGUCAUAGAGGGUGAGAAUCCCGUGUGGCGAGGAGUGCGGUUCCGUGUAAAGCGCUCUCGAAGAGUCGAGUUGUUUGGGAAUGCAGCUCUAAGUGGGUGGUAGAUUCCAUCUAAAGCUAAAUAUUGGCGAGAGACCGAUAGCGAA
rnacentral:rRNA from 1 species